rnacentral:rRNA from 1 species
AGUGAACGCUGGCGGUAGGCCUAACACAUGCAAGUCGAACGGCAGCACAGUAAGAGCUUGCUCUUACGGGUGGCGAGUGGCGGACGGGUGAGGAAUACAUCGGAAUCUACUUUUUCGUGGGGGAUAACGUAGGGAAACUUACGCUAAUACCGCAUACGACCUACGGGUGAAAGCAGGGGAUCUUCGGACCUUGCGCGAUUGAAUGAGCCGAUGUCGGAUUAGCUAGUUGGCGGGGUAAAGGCCCACCAAGGCGACGAUCCGUAGCUGGUCUGAGAGGAUGAUCAGCAACACUGGAACUGAGACACGGUCAAGACUCCUACGGGAGGAAGCAGUGGGGAAUAUUGGACAAUGGGCGCAAGCCUGAUCCAGCCAUACCGCGUGGGUGAAGAAGGCCUUCGGGUUGUAAAGCCCUUUUGUUGGGAAAGAAAAGCAGCAGGUUAAUACCCCGCUGUUCUGACGGUACCCAAAGAAUAAGCACCGGCUAACUUCGUG